rnacentral:rRNA from 1 species
UACGUAGGGGGGCAAGCGUUGUCCGGAAUCAUUGGGCGUAAAGAGCGUGUAGGCGGCCCGAUAAGUCCGCUGUGAAAGUCCAGGGCUCAACCCUGGAAUGCCGGUGGAUACUGUCGGGCUCGAAUCCGGAAGAGGUGAGUGGAAUUCCUGGUGUAGCGGUGAAAUGCGCAGAUAUCAGGAGGAACACCAAUGGCGAAGGCAGCUCACUGGGACGGUAUUGACGCUGAGACGCGAAAGCGUGGGGGAGCAAAACAGG